AUUGCAGAAUUCAGUGAAUCAUCGAAUCUUUGAACGCACCUUGCRCCCUUUGGCAUUCCGAAGGGUAUGCUCGUUUGAGUGUCAUU
rnacentral:rRNA from 1 species